UACGUAGGCAGCGAGCGUUGUUCGGAGUUACUGGGCGUAAAGCGUGCGUAGGCGGUUUUGUAAGUUUGGUGUGAAAUCUCCCGGCUCAACUGGGAGGGUGCGCCGAAAACUGCAAGGCUGGAGUGUGGGAGAGGUAGGCGGAAUUCCUGGUGUAGCGGUGGAAUGCGCAGAUAUCAGGAGGAACACCGAUGGCGAAGGCAGUUCUCUGGGCCGUAACUGACGCUGAGGAGCGAAAGCGUGGGGAGCGAACAGG
rnacentral:rRNA from 1 species